CCUACGGGGGGCUGCAGUCGAGAAUCAUUCACAAUGGGGGAAACCCUGAUGGUGCGACGCCGCGUGGGGGAAUGAAGUUCUUCGGAUUGUAAACCCCUGUCAUGUGGGAGCAAAUUAAAAAGCUCGUACCCCAAGAGGAAGAGCCGGCUAACUCUGUGCCAGCAGCCGCGGUAAUACAGAGGUCUCAAGCGUUGUUCGGAAUCACUGGGCGUAAAGCGUGCGUAGGCUGUUUCGUAAGUCGUGUGUGAAAGGCGCGGGCUCAACCCGCGGACGGCACAUGAUACUGCGAGACUAGAGUAAUGGAGGGGGAACCGGAAUUCUCGGUGUAGCAGUGAAAUGCGUAGAUAUCGAGAGGAACACUCGUGGCGAAGGCGGGUUCCUGGACAUUAACUGACGCUGAGGCACGAAGGCCAGGGGAGCGAAAGGGAUUAGAUACCCCAGUAGUC
rnacentral:rRNA from 1 species